rnacentral:lncRNA from 1 species
GAGAAAGAUUGUUAAGGAUGGUAGGGGUAAAGGGUAUUUUUGGAAUAAAGAAAAUAGUGGGGAGGUGUAGGGAGCAACACCCUUGUUGAAAUGAUGGUAUUGGCCAGCGCUGGAAGAAUAAUGAAGCAAAGUUGGGCUGAAAGGAAUGGAAUAAAGCCAUUUUGGGUAGUAGAUUAAAUGAAAUGCUGCAUUGAGGCAAAGUCAGAGGGGCUUCUAUUUUUUUCCUAUUGUGCAUAGAGAAGCUCGAGUCAUUUGAGGCUUUCUCCCAACUCCAUCAUUUGGGGCUAAGGUUCUUACGAAAAGGGAGUUUUAGAGCCCAAAGCAUAAGCGAGCUCAGUGGAUCAAAAAGGGAGCUUGAUUAGAGACUCACUGCCCAAAGAAAGACAACCUAGAAGCUUGAUCGGUCAGAAUGAAGGUUGAAGGCACGUGCUAAGCUUGAACGGUUUGAGAACCUGGUCAAAAUUAGUUGAAGGAUGCUCCAGAAUAUUCCAAGUUUGUUUUUAGUUCUUCUCUCCUUUCCCUCUUUUCUUUUCUUUUCUGUUUUACGAUUACCCUAUAAAAAAGGGAGGUUUUGUAACUUUGUAAAGUACGUGCACUGGGUGACAGACGGUGUGCUUAGGCUAGGUUUUUUUAUUUCUCAUGCUUUAGAGUAGAUUCCUUUACAACUUUCAUAGUAUAGGAACUUUGAUUUCUUUGCUGGAGUUUUUGGGGCUUUCCAUUGGGUGACUGGCAGUGGGAUUCUGGGAUUCUGGUAUUGUGUAAUUCUUCUUUAGCUUUCAAUAAAGAAAUUUUAUGUUUCAGUGUUCGGUCCAAUUUACAUUUGAUUGUCAUUUACUUUAAUUGAUUCCAUUUUUGUUUCUCUAAUUGCACUGUUAUUGAUUUUACCCUUUGAUAAUUGUUUCUGAGUUUGAUGAGUUUUCCAUAUUUUAGAGUAAAUGUUUUUAUUCGGUUUCU